rnacentral:tRNA from 1 species
AGUUAUUUCCUGGGGAAAACUUGUCUUGAAAAUAAGUUAGAAGUGUUCAAUUCGCUUGGUAACUU